rnacentral:rRNA from 1 species
GACGAACGCUGGCGGCGUGCCUAAUACAUGCAAGUCGACCUUAGUGGCGAACGGGUGAGUAACACGUGGGUAACCUGCCCAUCAGAAGGGGAUCACAAUUGGAAACAGGUGCUAAUACCGUAUACUGAUGGAUUGACCCGCGGUGCAUGAGCUAGUUGGUGAGGUACCGGCUCACCAAGGCCACGAUCCAUAGCCGACCUGAUAGUGUGAUCGGCCACAUUGGGCCUGCGACACGGCCUGAACUCCUACGGGAGUAAGCAGUAGGGAAUCUUCGGCAAUGGACGAAAGUCUGACCGAGCAACGCCGCGUGAGUGAAGAAGGUUUUCGGAUCGUAAAACUCUGGUGUUAGAGAAGCGGUAUCUAACCAGAAAGCCACGGCUAACUACGUGCCAGCAGCCGCGGUAAUUC